UACGUAGGGAGCAAGCGUUGUCCGGAAUCAUUGGGCGUAAAGAGCGCGUAGGCGGCCGUGUAAGUCCGCUCUGAAAGUCGGAGGCUCAACCUCCGAAAGCGGGUGGAUACUGCACGGCUAGAGUCCGGAAGAGGCGAGUGGAAUUCCUGGUGUAGCGGUGAAAUGCGCAGAUAUCAGGAGGAACACCAAUUGCGAAGGCAGCUCGCUGGGACGUUACUGACGCUGAGACGCGAAAGCGUGGGGAGCAAACAGG
rnacentral:rRNA from 1 species